ACGGAAGGCAGCAGUGAGGAAUAUUGGUCAAUGGACGGAAGUCUGAACCAGCCAAGUCGCGUGAAGGAUGAAGGUAUUAUGUAUUGUAAACUUCUUUAGCAGUGGAGUAAUAAGGGGAUCGCGAUCCCUGAUGCAAGUACACUGAGAAUAAGGAUCGGCUAACUCCGUGCCAGCAGCCGCGGUAAUACGGAGGAUCCGAGCGUUAUCCGGAUUUAUUGGGUUUAAAGGGAGCGUAGGCGGGCUGUUAAGUCAGCGGUCAAAUGUCAGGGCCCAACCUUGGCAUGCCGUUGAUACUGGCGGCCUUGAGUGCACACAAGGAAGGUGGAAUUCGUCGUGUAGCGGUGAAAUGCUUAGAUAUGACGAAGAACUCCGAUUGCGAAGGCAGCCUUCUGGGGUGUUACUGACGCUGAGGCUCGAAAGCGCGGGUAUCAAACAGGAUUAGAUACCCUGGUA
rnacentral:rRNA from 1 species